rnacentral:lncRNA from 1 species
CCAGAAUGCUUGUUCCACUUUCCCCGGCUCUGAGCAACUUUGUUAAUGGCAGGAGCCAUGAAUAUCUUGCCUUGCCUCUCUCCAGAGUGUCCCUUGGACCCUCUUAUUGAGUAGAUUCAAGUAGAUGUCCUGCCUUCGCAGACUCAGUAAAGAGAAAGGAAAGAGCCACAGAGCUGCUGCCCGCCAGAUUGAACAUCCCUGAACGGUCCCUGUCAACCCUGAAAAGGAAGAACGGUAGCAAGACAGGCUGCGCAUGAGGACCUAAUCCUUGCCUGCCCACCCUGAAUGAGGAGGAUUUUGAGGAGUCUUUCUCCUUAAUUCUGGCAGAAAUGUAGUGGCCUUUGAAGCAGAGUCCAGCAGACUCAAGCUCCAGGGAAACUUGAUCCUCUCACAAGCCUCUGAAGCCCUUUCAGCCAGCCCUUAAACACCACUGCCCUGUGGUUAUGCUGCCAAGAUGCUUAGACAACUCCCUGUGCUUGGGCAAUGGUGAUCAAAGCACCCGGAGUGGGUGGGGGGGCAAGAGGAAGUAUUUGCUGAACCAAUUUCCUUUCAACACAUUGAGGUCCAGUUAAGCAACUUGUUAUAGCUGGCUGUGCCCCAGGACAAGGACUGGUUGAGAAGAGGGUGAUUUCUACCCCCCUGGAUUUGGUUGCUUGUUGAAAAUCCCCCCAAAGGUUCUGUGUGGGAUAGAUGAGACAUUCUGCUCAUCAAGGGACAAGGAGCCUGGUGCCAUUUUAACAGCUGCUUCCAAGAUCUCUACAGCAGAGGGAAGGGCAUGGUGUACUGUCUCUUAAAGUAGCGCUGUCAUCUUGGCUCACAUUUUAUUGGUGAGAGCAAGCUACAUGGGUCUUGUUGUACAGCUUUAAAGAGAAGAGGGAAGUGCAAUUAUAGACCACCCCGUGCACAGAGGAAGAAGACCAGGAUGUUUGUGAAUAUCCCUCCUGACUAUCACCAGGUAGAAACAGGUGAUAUGAUCUUCUGACUGAUACACAGGUAACUUUUGGCUCAUGAAGAACCCCCAGGUCAAAGUCAAGGUCAGCAGCUGCUCCCAGGCCUCUGGUUUGGAAUUAAGUUUUCAGACUAGGUCUUUUCUCCCUUCUUACUUCUCCAGUCAAUUAUAUUUAAGCUGAUGGGUGAUCCUGUCAGCCUUAAGAAAAUAGCAGAAAGAAAUAAAUUUAUGUGAAACAUCCUACAUUCUAAUUAAAUUUCCCUGCUAUCCCAAGGUUUGGGCUUGGGUGCUGAUUUACACUCUAAAAAAAUUAAAAUAAAAGCCCAAAUUCAAGAAAGCGCACAAAAUGCUUUCAUAUUGUUUUCCAUAGCUGAUAUGUAAAUGAAAAGAAUGUUUUUAUUUCCC